GGCCACAUAUCUCCGUCGCACAAGAGAUGUUGGAGAAGCGGGAGUAACCCAUCGCCUGUAGCUCAGUACGCGUGGCAUUCAAGAAGCUGCUUCGAUCGCAGACUACAUGAUCAGAUCCAUGUCGUAGCAUAUAUAUACACCAUGUACGUCAUGGAUGCAUGCAUAAAAGCGAGCUAGGAUGUCAGACAGGUUAGUAUUCAUUGGUGCAAUCAUAUCUUUCUAUUAAUGUAUAGAUCUUCCGCUGCCACAUUUAUCUUCUAUUCUCCACCACAUGGAAGUGGAAUAUAUGUACAACUAAUACGGUGAUAAGCUGGUCAAUGCAAGUUAGCAAAGCGUUUGAGGAAAAAUAGACAAUUGAUGGGAUCUCAAAGAUUGAAGAUACUGUGAUUCAGAUUGAGUGAGUAUAUCAAAAGGAAGUAAAUGAGUACAAAUACCGUGGUUGCUAACAGUUAAAACUCUUGGAAUAUACUGGGAUAGAAAAUUUAAUUUUAGACUACUGGGUGAGAAGCUCAACAAAACUGAUGUAGAUUCUUUCAGUCGUGUUUUUAUAGUAACAUCAGCAACUGUCCGAUAUUUGAUAUCUGUGUAUUACAUAUUAAAAGGAUGUAAGUAUUGCUAUAUGUGUAUAUUUAUUUUAUAGGAAAGUUAAUGUCAAGUGCAUACAGAGUAGUCUCUGUCAUCUAUAGGUGCAUACAGAGUAGUCGAUGUCAUCUGUAGGUGCAAACAGAGUUUAUGUCGAGUUGAAUAUCAUCGGCUAAUCGUGUCCCUUUACUUCUACUGUGCAGAUGGGGUGAAACAUAAAUUGAUUUGCAAACAGGG
rnacentral:lncRNA from 1 species